CUCCCUGAACCAGCCCUUUGGCAGCGGCCUUAUCACCCCCUCGGGGAUCCUGCUCAACAGCCAGAUGCUGGACUUCUCCUGGCCCAACCGGACAGCUAACCACUCUGCACCCAGCCUGGAGAAUUCAGUGCAGCCAGGGAAGCGGCCACUCUCUUUCCUGCUGCCCACAGUGGUCCGACCCGCGGAGGGGCUCUGUGGAACCUACCUCGCUCUGGGGGCCAAUGGAGCUGCGCGGGGCCUCAGCGGCCUGACACAGGGCUGUUAGGAGGCUCAGAUGACACCCGGUGUAAGAAUUCUCAAGACUAAGGAGCCUGGACCAAGGGUGAGAGCUGAGGAAUCCUGGACCAUCACCCCUGGGACAGCCCUGAUUUUUCUGUACCUUGGCUACCACAGGUUCUGCUGAAUGUCCUGACCUUGAACCGGAACCUGAGUGACAGCCUGGCCCGCGGCCGCCUACACCCGGACCUGCAGUCCAACCUCCUGCAGGUGGACACUCUUGAUAUCUCCUGGACUGAAUCACAUUAGAAGCAGAGACCGCGAUCUUCAACAAUCACAUCCUGUGGUUGGCCAGCGACACUUG
rnacentral:lncRNA from 10 species